UCCCACAGCCACUUGAAAGACCCCCAGAGUGGGGAGACCCUCACUCAAGUCUCGGGAUAAGCCAAUGCCCCAAUAAUUCAAGAGGGACA
rnacentral:pre_miRNA from 11 species